GGGGAUAGGAUGGUUCCGUCGGCUGCAUUGACACCAGCCUGAUCGGGGUUCGAUUCCCCGUAUCUCCACCA
rnacentral:tRNA from 1 species